UUUGCUAUAGAAAUGGCGGUGAUUCGUGAUUUUUGGCAAAAGCCGUGGUUUUAGAAUACUCUAGCCACAAAUGUGGCUGUUUUGAGCAAUUUGCUCCUCCAGCAACUGUAUGUACCCUCAUCUACACAUCUAUGUGGUCAUAUAGAGGAUUAAUUCGAGGCCAACUCCUGAGCAUUCUGAAGUGCCAUAGAUAAAACACAUUUCAAGAUUAUCCAAGGUACAUGGAGAAAUUCUAACGAGAUUCGGACUUGCUUAGUUGCAGGGCUGGCUAGCAGAUGGGGCAGAGUGCGCAAACUGUCGAAGGUACAUGGAGAAAUCAAGGGAAACGCUACACAUUUCAAGAGCUGCCCCGAAUUUCUUUAGCCCUAGCCCCACGCUCCAUGGCUUAGAAUAUGCCUGAGAGCAUGGUCGCCGCGCUCGACAGUGCGGCUCCGGUGAUGGCGAAAUGGACGACGUGGUCGGAGUGCCCGUUGUCCCCUGUCAGCGCGACGGCUGCUCCGGCGAUCGCCCCUGCUAUCGCGCUAUUCUU
rnacentral:lncRNA from 1 species